AUUGAACGCUGGCGGCAGGCUUAACACAUGCAAGUCGAGCGGAGAUGAGGUGCUUGCACCUUAUCUUAGCGGCGGACGGGUGAGUAAUGCUUAGGAAUCUGCCUAUUAGUGGGGGACAACAUUCCGAAAGGAAUGCUAAUACCGCAUACGUCCUACGGGAGAAAGCAGGGGAUCUUCGGACCUUGCGCUAAUAGAUGAGCCUAAGUCGGAUUAGCUAGUUGGUGGGGUAAAGGCCUACCAAGGGGACGAUCUGUAGCGGGUCUGAGAGGAUGACGAGCCACACUGGCACUGAGAAACGGCCCAGCCUCCUACGGGAGGCAGCAGUGGGGAAUAUUGGACAAUGGGGGGAACCCUCAUCCAGCCAUGCGGCGUGUGUGAAGAAGGCCUUAUGGUUGUAAAGCACUUUAAGCGAGGAGGAAGCUACUGAGACUAAUACUCUUGGAUAGUGGACGUUACUCGCAGAAUAAGCACCGGCUAACUCUGUGCCAGCCGCCCCCGUAAGAC
rnacentral:rRNA from 1 species